AGCAACAAUUAGAACUUAUGCUCAGAUAACAGCUCUGGAGUAAGCAGAAUUCCUAUGCAUUCAACAGUAAAGUUAGCACAUCUGGAUGAAGCCCUACCAGAACAAUGGUGGUACUGCACUGUAAUUACAUGAAAGGAUUAUCUACUUCUCAACAUACAACCCCACAGCAGAUGUGCAGUCAUUCACUUUGAAAAUGCUCCUGUAGGACUGCAAGUAUUCCAUGACAGAGCAUGACUUUUUGGGAGAACCUAUUCCUGCCUGCAGGAACCCACCAGCUUUCAGUCUGGCUUGAGAUCGAUGGUGAAGUGCACACAGGGCACCAGGAAAACCUCAUUCUGCAACAAAUACACCUUGGGAGAGAUCAUCACGUAUCCUGCUUUUUAGCUACAGAAGAAAAGCAGUUUUAUUGAUGGUACAUUACUCUGAAUUUCAGUAGCGUCACCUGCACUGGAGCUGUACUUGGACUCCCACUGCCACUUUUGGUGAGGGAAUUUCUGCCACCUCCUCCAGCCCCCUGUGAAGACCCCACACACCCACCUUCCACAGUGAUUUUGGAUUGUACUUUCCUUUAAUACUGUGCUCAUCUUGAUGGAGCCUCAUUCCUACUGAGCAUCCAAGAGAAGUGACAAAGUAGAACCUAAAGAGGCGCUGCCUUUCUGAAGAGUGCUUCCCAUGAGUUUCCUGAGCUACUAAGGAAUAUAAAUCUCCAGAAACACGGCUUGAAAGAAAUUAGGAGUCACUACUGCCCACUCAUGCAUGGAAUGAAGCACAUCUCCUGCAGAAAAGUAAAGUAUGUGAUCAUGAUUAAUAAUUUUGAACGUGAGCAAAGAAUGACAGGAAUGCAAAUUGGAGCAACUUCCUCUGCAUGUACUCAGUUUUCACGUUAAUAUUAAACUAUCUGCAU
ensembl:lncRNA